UGUGAAUCCUUUUAUGGGAAAUGAUGAUUUCUUUGAGCAAAGGUCUUUCCACACUCCAUGCAUUUAUACGGCUUCUCCCGUGUGAUCAUCUUAUAGGAAAUAAGAUGAGCUCGUCGAGCAAAGGUCUUUCCACACACUAUGCAUUUAUACGGCUUCUCUCCUGUGUGGAUCAUCUUAUGGGAAGUAAGUUUACUGCUCAGAGCAAAGAUCUUUCCACACUCCAUGCAUUUAUAUGGCUUCUCCCCUGUGUGGUUUCUUUUAUGGUUAGUAAGUGUACUGCUAUUAGCAAAG